GUUUCCUUUGACUCACCGAGUGAGCUGAAGUUCAAGAUCUAACUUCUAAGCAUUCCCAAAAGCCCAGCGCUUUCAACAACCGUUUCGACACUUACCAACCAUUCAACGCCUCACUUACAAAUCCUUUCUCCCCUAAUCUCCUUUGUUCCUUUCCCCCUCUUUCGGCACUUCUCCUCUCUGGAAUUAUAAUUCAGUGACCUAGACGCGCACACUACAAAUUACUGUAUCUUCAAUUCCGCCUGGAAAGUGAUUUCCCCCACAGUUCCAAUAUACGCUACUUCCGCUUCGCCUAAAUAUAUAACAAUUUCACUCCCAUCUCUCCCUUUCAAUUUGAAUUAUGCUAUCCGUUUUCUCUCUCUAGCCAUGUCAUCACAGACAACCGCCAGGGAGGCAGCGGAGCCCCAGGCGCCACUCCUCCGCUCCCGCCACGGGAACUCUGAUGCCUCCGCCGCGUCUCGGGCUCCAACCCUCGCGCUUCUGCUGGGCCGAGCCACGGGCCGCCGUGGCCCGUCCAUGCUGGUCCGCGAGACUGCAGCGCGGGAGCUGGAGGAGCGGCGGGCCGACUGGGGAUACUCGAAGCCGGUCGUGGCGCUCGACAUGUCGUGGAACAUGGCCUUCGUAGUGGUCUCAGCGGUGAUGCUUGCGUGCACCUUGGAUGAGCGGCCGAACACGCCGAUCCGCCUGUGGAUCUUCGGGUAUGGGCUGCAGUGCCUGCUGCACGUGGUGCUGGUGUGGCUCGAGUACCGGCGCCGGAACCAAAGGAAUUCGCGGCGUCAGCGAAGGACGAGUGGCAUAGAAAGCGAGGAUGCUGAUAGCUUUGAGGAUGCCAACGAUAGUGACGAUGAUGAUGUUGGUGAUGGAAACUCUUCUCACUCCGGAUUCACAAAACGAUGUGAGUCGUUUAAUACGGGGAUUUCAUUCCUUUGGUGGAUAGUGGGCUUUUACUGGGUUGUCUCUGGUGGUGAUAUACUUCUGCAAGAUGCCCCACGCUUAUACUGGUUGGCUGUUGUGUUUUUGGCAUUUGACGUCUUCUUUGCUAUCUUUUGUGUUGUUUUGGCAUGCUUAAUUGGCAUUGCCCUCUGUUGUUGUUUGCCUUGCAUCAUUGCUAUUCUCUAUGCUGUUGCAGGACAGGAAGGUGCGUCAGAAGCAGAUCUCAGUAUAAUUCCAAAAUACAGAUUUGAAAUUUUAAGCAAUGAGGAAAAGCCUACUGGGGGAGCUGGAAGAAUGGUUCCCAUUGAAACCAGUAGUGGAUAUGUUGCAAACGAACGGACACUUUUGCCUGAGGAUGCGAAAAAGAAAACCAGAACUAGAGGGAGCAGCGACAGGGAAGAAAGGAGGAGGUGGAGGAAGACAACAUCAGGAAGAGAGGAAGAGGUGGAGGAAGAUGACAUCAUGAAGAGUAGCUAAGCUAGAGGAAGAUGACAUCAGGAGGCAGUUGCGGAGGCUCAGCCAGAUCGAGAGAGGGAGAGGGAGGCACGACACAUCUGGAAGGUUGGAGUGAAGGCAGAUCAAGAAAGGGGAAGGCAACAGAUCUGGAAGGCAAAGGCAGACUAAGGUGAAAAGAAGAGAGGAGGUGAAGAUGGAGUAAAGGCAGCAACGACGAAGGCGAAGAGGAGCGGUGACAGUAUAGGCAUAAGGGAGAGAGGGAGGAGGUGGGAGUGAGGGAGAGGGGAGAAGAACAAACUGGAAAUAUAGGGACAAAUGUGGAAGGACACUGAAACAUGUAUUUUGUAUGCAUUGUGUGUUAGCAUGUCUAUAAAAGUUUUGUCUCAGCAAACAAACAGUGGACAUGUGCCACAGUGUCCAUGACUCUGCCAAACAUGGAUACUAUCGAACACUACCUAAGGAUUUUAGUGUGGAUGAAGGAGGGGCUAAAACUGGGAGUGGGGGUAACUGAGCUGAAGCUGCUGUGGCUAAAACUAGUGUGACGGUGGGCCAUAAAGCUCAUGGGGUAUGGAAAUUGUCUAAUGAGGAAUGGGUUGAGAUGCAGAAGAAAAGGUUGUGCUUUAGCUGCAGUGACAAAUUGGGCCCAUAAUGCACUUGCCAACUCAAGACACCAUCAGGUGUUUGUUGUUGGUAGAAGGAGAGGAGAGGCAAUUGGAGGAGGAAGAGGAAGACUUGGGACCUGUGUUAGAGGAGGUGGAUGUUAAAGAAAUGAUGCUUCACUUUUCCUCUUAUAGUAUUGACGAUUAACCACAAUUUGGGGCAGGAGGUACUAGUUCUAGUAGAUUCAGGGGAUGAAGCUAACUUCAUUCCCACAAGGUAGCAAAGAAGUUUUAUCUUACCAUGAGAAGGUUAAGACUUUUUAGAGUGGAAUUAGGGCAUGGUUCCAUAGAGAAAGGGGGUAGGCAGAUGUGAAGAUGUGGUGGUGAUGGUGCAGGGAAUCCCAACCCAACAAUUUUUUUUGUCGAGUUAGUGGAGGUUGGAACUAUUUCAACAUGCUGGUUGGGUGGCAAGUUUGGGGAAAUAUGAAGGGAAACAUACAUGGAUGGCUCUUAAGUCAUGGAGGGAAGGAGUUUUCAUUGGAACGGAGAUCCCACCUAGAGUAGGAGUAAGGCUAUGUGGAAAGCAGCUCUGAGUGCCCUUAAAAUCCAAGAGAGCUAUCUUAUAACAUCAUUUCAGACUUAAGUUCCCAAUGAUGAGGCCCUGAUUCUGUCGCAUUAAGUGCAGCAGCUACUGCAGCUAUUGGAUGACUUAUUCCAAGUCCCAGAAGGACUCCUUCCAACUCAUGAGCAUGGCCAUGCUAUUGUUCUUGAAGAGGGUGUCAAUAUUCCUCGAAUUUGCCCAUAUAGGAAUGUUGCAUAUGCCUUUGUCCUUACGAGGAUGGAACAGAGCUCCAUGCUCUUCCGUGCAAUCAUCAUUUUCAUUCUUUAUGCAUAGUGAAAUGGCUAAAGAUGA